GUGUCAGCCGCCGCGGUAAGACGAAGGGGGCUAGCGUUGUUCGGAAUUACUGGGCGUAAAGCGAGUGUAGGUGGUUUGCCAAGUCGGGUGUGAAAGCCUUGAGCUCAACUCAAGAAAUGCACUCGUUACUGGCAGACUAGAGGACCGGAGAGGAUAGUGGAAUUCCCAGUGUAGUGGUGAAAUACGUAGAGAUUGGGAAGAACACCAGUGGCGAAGGCGGUUAUCUGGACGGUUUCUGACACUA
rnacentral:rRNA from 1 species